rnacentral:lncRNA from 1 species
CGAAGAUCGACUCGAAGAAUUUCCUUAGGCUCGAGACUCGACUCGAUAAGGCUCGAUCUUUAAUCGAGCUUUAUCAAGUCGAGUCUUAUCAAGCUUUUUGACUCGAUUUGACCAAAAAACCAGAUCAAAGGUGACUGUAAACAGCUUUAUACUUCUAUACGCGGGUAAACAAGGGAAGAAAAUGAACUCUUCUACCACGACAAAUGCCUCAUAGCAUAGGACCAUAAUAAGUUGUUAAGUCCUGCCCAACAAUGGAACCCUGGGAUUAAUGUCGGUAAAACCAUAUUUCCUUAAAAGAAUCAUAAUAGGAGAUGACAGCAAUAGUGUAGAGAUGCAACCAGUCAACUCAGUAUCCAGGAGUUGAAUCUAAAGAGAGAGAAAGGCAUGCGCAUGUGCUAAACUGAGGAGGUCAUAAGGGCAUGUAUGAAGACCGAUAAACUUUGGCACAGCUACAUGCAUAAACACAAGUAUAAUCAUCUACGUACAAAGCAGAUCUAAAUCCAUUUGUAAUAAAAGUAAAAUUAAAAAUAGCAAUCAACAGCACUCAAGAUCUUAUUUUCAACAUGCAAAAAUGAAUGCUCAAAUACAGCUACACCUCUCUCUCUGAUGGAAAAUAACUUGAAUAACAAGAAAAUGAAAAGAACAAGUUCCAAACUAGAAUCACAAGAAAACGACACAGAUCUAACAAUUAAUAUUUCUGAGCAAAAAAAUUAAUGCAGGCACGAACUAAUGCAACAAAACUAGACAAUAGUCAUUAAGUUUAUACAAACGGCAGGCAUAAAAGGAAAAUGCAGCAGAUACUAGAGCAAAAUCCUCAAACAACACUAACAACUAUCUGAUGGAAUGUAGCUUCUACUACAAAAACUUCAAAUAAAGGUUUUAACUACCCAGGAACACAUAAAAUAAGCAAAUUUAUUCCUUUCAGCCAUGAAAUUAUAAAAAUUGACUAAAUAGCACAGAAAUCACAUUGUACUUAAAGCUUAUACAUGUGUGGUCCCAGAAAUGUAAAUCUUUCAGAAGUCGCAAGGGUGCAAACUCUAGCAUCAAACAAGCAAGUUAAGACCUUCAAGACUCCGUAAACAGAACACCCGAAGUGGAACACCAACACAUAGCCUCAACCCCACUUUCUACAAGAUUACAAAUGUCUAUACAUAGCCUCAACCCCAAGGCCUUAACUUUUAAAGGCUACACAACUGGAGAGAGCUUCUUGUGUAUAAAAUACAAAGCUUAUGUUAUAUCACACCUAAUCUAAACUACUACAACAGUUAGAGUUUGCAAUUGGAAGCUCAGAUUUCGUCCCCUUAUCGAUUCAGGAUAACAAGUUUCCUAGUCGAUCUUGGCCCAUUUUAAUGCCAGAGACACAGAGCCAAAAACAGAGGAGCACUUACCUAAGUGAGCCAGAGAUGAGCAGUGAUGAACCAGCGAUGAACUAGUGAGAUCUUGGUGCUUCGUCUUCGACACUCGGCAGCGAUGAACCAGCACCGCAGGACACAGCCGACAGGAGACGUAGAGCGCGGCGGACUGGCGGAGGCCGGAGAGGCAGAGAGCAGCUUCGAUUUGGGACUUGGGACUUGGGACUUGUUAAGGUGAUGGCGAUGGCGAUGGAGUCUCACAGAUGUGGCGAGCAACAGCGUCGGCGACGAACGAAGUGAGGGUGUAGAUCUAAAUCAGUCAGAGUCAGUGGCUGCCGGCUGGUAAAGUGAAUUUU